rnacentral:tRNA from 1 species
GGAUGGAUGGCCGAGUGGACUAAGGCGGCAGUCUUGAAAACUGCUGGGCUCUCACGGGCCCCGGGGGUUCGAAUCCCUCUCCAUCCG